GAUGAACGCUGGCGGCGUGCCUAAUACAUGCAAGUCGAGCGAAUGGAUUAAGAGCUUGCUCUUAUGAAGUUAGCGGCGGACGGGUGAGUAACACGUGGGUAACCUGCCCAUAAGACUGGGAUAACUCCGGGAAACCGGGGCUAAUACCGGAUAACAUUUUGAACUGCAUGGUUCGAAAUUGAAAGGCGGCUUCGGCUGUCACUUAUGGAUGGACCCGCGUCGCAUUAGCUAGUUGGUGAGGUAACGGCUCACCAAGGCAACGAUGCGUAGCCGACCUGAGAGGGUGAUCGGCCACACUGGGACUGAGACACGGCCCAGACUCCUACGGGAGGCAGCAGUAGGGAAUCUUCCGCAAUGGACGAAAGUCUGACGGAGCAACGCCGCGUGAGUGAUGAAGGCUUUCGGGUCGUAAAACUCUGUUGUUAGGGAAGAACAAGUGCUAGUUGAAUAAGCUGGCACCUUGACGGUACCUAACCUGAAAGCCACGGCUAACUACGUGCCAGCCGCCGCGGUAA
rnacentral:rRNA from 1 species